rnacentral:rRNA from 1 species
UACGGGGGGGGCAAGCGUUGUUCGGAAUUACUGGGCGUAAAGGGCUCGUAGGCGGCCAACUAAGUCAGACGUGAAAUCCCUCAGCUUAACUGGGGAACUGCGUCUGAUACUGGAUGGCUUGAGUUUGAGAGAGGGAAGCGGAAUUCCUGGUGUAGCGGUGAAAUGCGUAGAUAUCAGGAGGAACACCUGCGGUGUAGGCGGCUUACUGGACGGUAACUGACGCUGAGGCACGAAAGCGUGGGUAGCAAACAGG